AAGUCGUAACAAGGUUUCCGUAGGUGAACCUGCGGAAGGAUCAUUAAUACGCUUUUGUUUGUAACAAAACAAAACGUUUUAAACCUCCAAAAGAAAUAGUGGAAAUAUAACUUCCGGAUGCGAAUGUUGGGAACUGAGUAACAUCGGUUCUUUGAAAAAGGGACUUCAAGUAAAAUUGACACUUCAGAGUAGAGCAGUGAGGUGAAAUUCUCGUUUUCGAGCGAGAGUUUGGUUCUGAAAAACAUUUGUAUCCGGUUAUCAACAUCUGUUCUACAAACUACAAAAUAUCAAACAAUAAACCCCAUGUACAACAACUUGAACUAAACAUUUUUUUGUUGUCUAUUCUUGCACUUGUGUGAGAAGAUACUACAAAGAAAAAACCUGAACUUAAGAACAACUCUUAACAACGGAUAUCUUGGUUCUC
rnacentral:misc_RNA from 1 species